CAGUUCCCGGAUCCUCUGUCCUCUCCGGACCUCGGGGACAGUUCGCGGCAGUGUCCCCAGCCCGGGACGCUCCCUCUGAAGGCUCUGCAGGUACGCCAUCAAUAACAUGGAGGCAGAGCCCAAUGUGACCAUCACAUCUGCAGGCUUCGGGGAGAGAAUGCGGAGGAAUGCGUGUGCUCGAUCUGCCCGUAUCUACCUGGAGGCCAGCGGCCACUUUUCACGGCGGGGGACCAUGCUGACAGGAGAUACUGAUGUGUGAGGAGACACUGAUGGUUGACACGUAUAUGAAAAGAUGCUCCACACAGUGCUCAUUCGGGAAAUGAGAUAGGAGUCAGAGGACUACUAUACUGAGAUUUGACUACAGAGGAUGGAAUAAAUCAGAGAGAUUGAAUGACUUGCCCAAGGCCACCCAGUGUGUCAGAGACAGAAUGGAAUAGAAUCCAGAAGAACGAGCAAGUACGUUUUCCAUUUUACCAUCUGCCCUCUCUC